rnacentral:rRNA from 1 species
GACGAACGCUGGCGGCACGCCUAACACAUGCAAGUCGAACGAAGCACUUAAGUUGAUUUCUUCGGAUUGAUUCUUAGGUGACUUAGUGGCGGACGGGUGAGUAACGCGUGGGUAACCUGCCUCGUACAGGGGGAUAACAGUUAGAAAUGACUGCUAAUACCGCAUAACCCGCUAAGGUCGCAUGACCUAGACGGAAAAGAUUUAUCGGUACGAGAUGGACCCGCGUCUGAUUAGCUAGUUGGUGGGGUAAAGGCCUACCAAGGCGACGAUCAGUAGCUGGUCUGAGAGGACGACCAGCCACAUUGGGACUGAGACACGGCCCAA